UAGUCCAGGCUACAACACUACAUAAACAGAUGAGGUAUCUGUUUAAAAGAUAAUAAAAUAAAAAAUAUAAAAAACAAAAAGAAAAGAUUUGUUGUAUUCUGCAUACUUCGUGUGGGAAGAACAUUCAUUUUGAAACAAGAGCCGAUGAAAAAACUGCAUCUAUGUUGCUCGAUUUCGCAUUGUGGCUGAAUGGAGGAACAAAAAACUGUUUUUUGUUUGUGACCUAAUCAACCACACCGACUAAAUUCGUUGAUAUCAUAGAGUUUAUAUAACGCUACAUCACAACACAAAUUGUCCCUUCGGGGACAUCCGAUAAAAUUGGAACGAUACAGAGGAGAUUAGCAUGGCCCCUGCGCAAGGAUGACACGCACAAGUCGAGAAAUGGUCCAAAUUUUUUUGAGGUUUUUCCCCCUUCAUUUCGGUUUCUUUCUUCUCACUUUCUAUGCUUUUGAAAAUGUUUCUUUUUGGUGGCUUCUUCUUCUUCUAAUGCAUUUCAUGUUUCUGUUCUACCUUUACAGAGGUACAUUUCAUCUUCUUGCUCUUGCUAUUUUUCACAGUAGAUAAGAUUGUUCAUUUAGCUCUACGAUUUUCACGUUUAUUUUUCUAACUUUAGCUUUGCUUUUCUUCACUUUCAUGCUCUUAAAUUAUCGGUCCCUUAUACAAUUUUAUUUCUACGCCAAAUAUUUCAAAUGCAAUGAGUUGUUUUCUCAAUUUCAAUUUUACUUGUUAAACCCCAAAAUUUUCCGGUGGGAAGUUCAUCAAGCCAAAAUAAGUAAGGGAAAACACCUUGAAUGUCAUGUGUUUGAUAAAAUGUCACAUUAAAAAAUUCUCUUAACUUGAGUUGCUGUUUACAUUUGGUUUUGUCUCUCUUUCAGUACCCAUUCAAUAAAGAGUUGUUAUUAAUAAUUUGGAAAAAAUAAAUAAAUGCUAGUAGGGUCAAAAAGAAAAAAAUUCAUCUUGCCAAUACAUUUUCAAUAUUGAGUGAGUCAAGGAAGACUGUGUCAUUUGGUUGGUUUAAAUCUUCUAUUAUCAAUAUUCAUUGCUACCUCCCAAAAUCUCAGGUUAAUUUUUCUACACUUUUUUGGUUUAGGUUUUCUUUGAUUUACAUGAUAUUUUUUUAACCAAUAUCACUGGAUAUCUAUUAUUUUUCGUCUGUCCAAAGUUAAUCUUUUUGGACUCAAGGGCUAAAAGGUGCUGCAAUGUAGUGCUCAUCAUGUUAGUCUUACACUUUACAAGCUCUCUGUUGGUGCCUCUCGUAGUUUAAGAAUAAUAAUCUAUCUAAUAUUUGUGAAGGCAUAAUUUGAGCAUGAUGGGAAGAAGGAUGACAUAAUUCGAGCUCUUCUGUUUUUUGUGUUACAACAUGCACUUGUGCAUUCUCUCCAAGUAACCUGAAUCGGCAAAAAGUGUAAGAAAUAAUUGAUGUUGUCUAACUUAGUUGGUAAGUAAUAUGCGGGUUUAAGUCUUAGGCUAAAUGUAGGUAGUUGAACAGCCAUUACUGCCUUAUAUAUUUUUAUUUAUCUUGUUGCUCAUUCUAUUUUGAAACUCAAGAGGCUGAAGCUCACUGUAGUGUUUCCAUAUCUUUGAAAUGUAUUUAAGGAUUUUUAGUUUUUACUUAACAUAGUUCUGUGCAAUUAAAGGAUUUCGGGUAGUGUUUAUUGUUUUUCCGGUUUAUACAGAGUUGGUGAUGGAAGAUACUGAUCGAGUUGUGUGGGUGGUCCAAUUUUUACCACAAUAUAUAAUAGUUACUUUGAACAUCAUGAAGGUCGUGCUCUCUGAAUUUUCAUCUCUUGCUCAUCAGAUACCAAUGUACCAAGAAAAACAAACCAGGCUGCACUCAAUUCAUGGCAUCAAUGUAUUACUAGACUCUUGUUUAUCUCCUUGUUUUUGUGCUACCGCAUGCACUUUUGCAUUCUCUUUAGGUAACCUUAAUUUUCAAAAAAAGUAAGGUAGAACUAGCUGGAGAAUAUAUAUGCAAGGUUUGUAAGCUUUUAAGGUAGAUAGGAUAGAAGGAGAAUAAGUGUAUAUUUGCUAUGCAAGCUUGAUAAGUAACCAUUCAGAUUUUUUGUAUAGUAUCUUUAUCAUUUUUAAUUAAAAAUGUUACAUUUAAAAGCAUACUAUGUUACGGUUGAA